GUCAGCUGCGAUAGCACGUAGAAUACACCAGUCCCCUGUGGUACACUGAAGUUAAGCAACGUUGCUCGUGGUUGGUAUCCUGAUGGGUGACUAGGUAUCAGGGCAAUGGUGUACUGCUGGCC
rfam:Asian citrus Psyllid, Diaphorina citri - Florida Strain, whole genome shotgun sequence.